rnacentral:rRNA from 1 species
AGUGAGGAAAGAGAUAUCCUUUGUUGAGUCAACCAUGGUCUUCGGUGAACGUGCAGCUGCAUGCAUGCAGCACCAGCGGCAGCAGCUUCCUUUGCAUGUAAGGAAGUGGUAGUUACCUAGUAGCUUCCUAGUAGUACGCUUAGAUGGUGCAAGGAACUUACCUAGAGGUUUCCUUGAUAGUACAUGGUAGUUUCGUGUGUGUUGUGCACGUCCAGCACAUAGUCGGUUUUAGAACCACUAUAUAAGGGGCAGCUCCCCAUCGUUGUAAGAUAAGGCCAUUCCAAGUUUGCAAUACCAGGCAUUUCCUCCUUCUAGUACCAUCGUGUGUGCUCCAAGCCUCAAGUGCUGUGUAUUACUACUACUGCUAUUAGUGUGUGUAUGUGAUACACUAGUGAGUGUGUGAGUAGUACGUGUGUGUGCUCAUCUGCCGGUCGUUUAUCAGUGUACUCAAGUGCUAGCGAGUACUUCUGGGCUAACAAUUGGCAUCAGAGCCUCAGGUUGUGGUAGCCAUGGCCGGUGCAAAAGGAGUGCAGCAGCGCACCACAUCGGGUGGUUCCCAGUCGUGGCUAUCACAGGACGGCUCCCGGCGAGGGCGCAGCUGGUCCAGGCAUGGCCAUCGCGGUGAAGUCGUGGUUAGGGAGAUCGUGCGCGAGACCGCAUUCAGCGGUAGCGUACCCAUCACCUUCCCGAUGCUCAUGCGCUCGAACUACAGCGAGUGGGCAUUGAUCAUGGAGUGCAACCUCCAUGCGGCGAGCCUCUGGGCUCCCAUGGAGGAUGACCUGGUCGAGAGAAAGGAGGACAGGAAAGCCGUGGCGGCGCUUAUGCGUGCCACGCUGCCGGAGAUGCACGGCAUGCUCGCGGCGAAGGCAAGCGCCAAGGAGGCGUGGGAAGCCAUCCGUACCCAGCGCCUCGGCAGCAACCGCGUGCGUGAGGCGAACGCGCAGAAGCUACGGGCGGACUUCGAGAACAUCGCCUUCAAGGAGGGCGAGCUCGUCGAUGACUUCGCCAUGCGGAUCUCUAGCGUUGCGUCACAACUCUGAGCGCUCGGCGACACCAUGGACGAUGCGAGAGUCGUGCGGAAAUUUCUCCGCGUCGUGCCACCUCGCUUCGCUCAGGUAGCGGUCUCCAUCGAGACCUUGCUUGACCUGAGUGAGCUCUCCAUCGAGGAGCUCACGGGCCGGUUGCGGGUGGUCGAGGACCGCAUUGACGACGGCCGCGAGACCUUCGGCGGCGGACAACUCCUAUUCUCGAAGAAGUGGGAGGCGAGGAAGCGUCAAGGACGUGGUGGCGGUGCCCAGAGCAAUGGAGGUGGCACCGGCAGAGGCGGUGGUCGCACCCAGGGUGGAGCCGGACGAGGUGCCGGCAACGAUGACCGAGACAAGUGCCGAUAUUGCAGCAUCAAGGGCCACUGGGCCCGUGAGUGCCGCAAGAGGAUGGCUGACGAGGAUGCCGCAGCCGCGGCGAACCUCGUCCAGGCUGAAGAGGACUGUGGGUCAGCAAUGAUGAUGGCUUGCAUCGAGACCAUGCAGGAAGGCGCAACGCCUCCGGAGACCAUGGUCCCGACAAGCAUCGAAGCCGUGCAGGAGGGCGAAGCACCUCGGGCGACCACGGUGCCGGCAACCGUCAAGUCCGUGCGGGAGGCACGGAGCUCUUCAAGUAAACCCCUCCCGACAUCGGUAGCGCUCUCCCCGACAACAACAUUCUCGGGGGCCUACGACUGCAUGGAGAUGAAGACCCGGGUGUGGGGGAGCCACACCCCGGCAACCACAUCCCUUGUGACGCUGGUCAAGCCCGUGCAAGUUGGCACGACAAUCACGGCCCCGACAUCCUCGGGACCCGACAAGCCCGUGCAAGUUGGCACGGCAAAGACGUCGCCGACAUCCUCGGGACCCAACAAGCCCGUGUCAGGAGGCACGGCAACGACGCAUAUGGUGGGCCACGUCUCAACCAUGAUGCUGGCGACUAGUGAGCCCGUGCAAGAGGCACGGCACUCAGGUCGGCCACACCCCAACAACCAGGUUCUCGGGGUUCUGCAAGCCCGUGUGGGCAACACGACACUCUUCGACAAGCCUCAACUGGGGGGCGAUGAAGAGACGGUCAUGGGGCGACAAGGCCUCGACCAUGACUAUGGCGACCGUCGAGACCGUGCAGGAGCCACGGUGCUCUAUGGUCGGCCACACCAUGACCUCGACAUGUUUGGGGUCCAUCGAGUCCAUGCGGGAGGCACGACACUCUCUGGUCGGGCACGCCCCGACCACACUGGUGGCGACUGUCGAGACCGUGCAGGAGGCAUGGUGCUUUGUGGUCGGUCACACUGCAGCCCCGACGCGCUCAGGGUCCGUUGAGUCCGUGCGGGAGGCACGACUCACGACUGUCGGGGGAGACCUGACAAGCAAGUCUGAUGAGAAGAAUGACAAGGACUCCGCUUUCCUAGGAAAAGCCACUCUUGUCAGUGCGGCGCCCGGCACAACAACCCUGGGAAGGGAGUUCCCGGGUAAUGCGAAGUCCGACAAGUCAUCCACAGGAAGUGAGUUUCUGGGUAGCAUGACGUCCGACACGACGACCCCGGGAAGGGAGUUCCCGGGCAGUGUGACGUCAGGAACUAUGACCCCAGCAAGAUUGACGCCCACAAGCGAGGUGGUUGCUGGGCAGUUCAUGUCCCCGCCAACAGCGCGGUCGGACCUGUUCGAUGCCGACAACAACGUUGGCGCUCCACAUAGGUUCCGACGCCUAGGGGGAUCUUCUCGGCGAACCUGCGGGACGACUGCAGCACCCUGAGAUCAAGAAGGACGAGCACGGCGCCUUCAUCAAGCACAAGGUACGGCUCGUCACGAAAGGUUACGUACAGCGCGCGGGGGAGGACUUGCUCGCUCUGGUGGCAAAGCACGAGCAGGGCGUACGGGCUACACAAAGCCCCAGAAGACGGAUAUCCCGACGAAGGGAACGUCCGGUUUCACAAGUUGCACGAUAAAGUUGGAAUCGUCAACGUCAAACUCCUUCGACAAGGUUGAGGGGGAGAUUGUUGAGUCAACCAUGGUCUUCAGUGAACAUGCAGCUGCAUGCAUGCAGCACCAGCGGCAGCAGCUUCCUAUGCAUGUAAGGAAGUGGUAGUUACCUAGUAGUACGCUUAGAUGGUGCAAGGAACUUACCUAGAGGUUUCCUUGGUAGUACAUGGUAGUUUCGUGUGUGUUGUGCACGUCCAGCACAUAGUCGGUUUUAGAACCACUAUAUAAGGGGCAGGUCCCCAUCGUUGUAAGAUAAGGCCAUUCCAAGUUUGCAAUACCAGGCAUUUCCUCCUUCUAGUACCACCGUGUGUGCUCCAAGCCUCAAGUGCUGUGUACUACUACUACUGCUACUAGUGUGUGUAUGUGAUACACUAGUGAGUGUGUGAGUAGUAUGUGUGUGUGCUCAUCCGCCGGUCGUUUAUCAGUGUACUCGAGUGCUAGCGAGUAGUUCUGGGCUAACAUCCUUCACUGAGAAGGUCGAGGAAGAUGGACGCCGGUAGAAAGGAUGAGACUCAUCAAAAGUGACAUCCUGAGAAAUACGCAUCCGACGACCAACAAGACCCCAACAAAUAUGCA